AAUAUUCCGCAAUGGGCGCAAGUCUGUCGGAGCAACGCCGCGUGAACGAGGAAGUUUUUCGGAUCUUAAAGUUCUGUGGAUAGGGAAGAAUACGUAUCGUUCGCACAGGGCGGUACUGUGACGGUACCUGACGAUAACGCGACGGCUAACUACGUUCCAGCAGCCGCGGUAAUACGGAGGUGGCAAGCGUUGUCCGGAAUUAUUGGGCAUAAAGCGAGCGACGGCGGUGUUUUAAGUCUAAUGUGAACUGUUGCUGCUUAACCGUAAGCGGUCAUUGGACACUGGGAGACUUGAGUACAGAAGAGGAGAGUGGAAUUCCACGUGUAGCGGUGAAAUGCGUAGAGAUGUGGAGGAACACCAGUGACGAAGGCGACUCUCUGGUCUGUGACUGACGCUGAGGCGCGAAAGCGUGGGGAGCAAACAG
rnacentral:rRNA from 1 species